GUUAAGCGACUAAGCGUACACGGUGGAUGCCCUGGCAGUCAGAGGCGAUGAAGGACGUGCUAAUCUGCGAUAAGCGUCGGUGAGGUGAUAUGAACCGUUAUAACCGGCGAUUUCCGAAUGGGGAAACCCAGUGUGUUUCGACACACUAUCAUUAACUGAAUCCAUAGGUUAAUGAGGCGAACCGGGGGAACUGAAACAUCUAAGUACCCCGAGGAAAAGAAAUCAACCGAGAUUCCCCCAGUAGCGGCGAGCGAACGGGGAGGAGCCCAGAGCCUGAAUCAGUGUGUGUGUUAGUGGAAGCGUCUGGAAAGGCGCGCGAUACAGGGUGACAGCCCCGUACACAAAAAUGCACAUACUGUGAGCUCGAUGAGUAGGGCGGGACACGUGGUAUCCUGUCUGAAUAUGGGGGGACCAUCCUCCAAGGCUAAAUACUCCUGACUGACCGAUAGUGAACCAGUACCGUGAGGGAAAGGCGAAAAGAACCCCGGCGAGGGGAGUGAAAAAGAACCUGAAACCGUGUACGUACAAGCAGUGGGAGCCUCUUAAUGGGGUGACUGCGUACCUUUUGUAUAAUGGGUCAGCGACUUAUAUUCUGUAGCAAGGUUAACCGAAUAGGGGAGCCGAAGGGAAACCGAGUCUUAACUGGGCGUUAAGUUGCAGGGUAUAGACCCGAAACCCGGUGAUCUAGCCAUGGGCAGGUUGAAGGUUGGGUAACACUAACUGGAGGACCGAACCGACUAAUGUUGAAAAAUUAGCGGAUGACUUGUGGCUGGGGGUGAAAGGCCAAUCAAACCGGGAGAUAGCUGGUUCUCCCCGAAAGCUAUUUAGGUAGCGCCUCGUGAAUUCAUCUCCGGGGGUAGAGCACUGUUUCGGCAAGGGGGUCAUCCCGACUUACCAACCCGAUGCAAACUGCGAAUACCGGAGAAUGUUAUCACGGGAGACACACGGCGGGUGCUAACGUCCGUCGUGAAGAGGGAAACAACCCAGACCGCCAGCUAAGGUCCCAAAGUCAUGGUUAAGUGGGAAACGAUGUGGGAAGGCCCAGACAGCCAGGAUGUUGGCUUAGAAGCAGCCAUCAUUUAAAGAAAGCGUAAUAGCUCACUGGUCGAGUCGGCCUGCGCGGAAGAUGUAACGGGGCUAAACCAUGCACCGAAGCUGCGGCAGCGACGCUUAUGCGUUGUUGGGUAGGGGAGCGUUCUGUAAGCCUGUGAAGGUGGCCUGUGAGGGUUGCUGGAGGUAUCAGAAGUGCGAAUGCUGACAUAAGUAACGAUAAAGCGGGUGAAAAGCCCGCUCGCCGGAAGACCAAGGGUUCCUGUCCAACGUUAAUCGGGGCAGGGUGAGUCGACCCCUAAGGCGAGGCCGAAAGGCGUAGUCGAUGGGAAACAGGUUAAUAUUCCUGUACUUGGUGUUACUGCGAAGGGGGGACGGAGAAGGCUAUGUUGGCCGGGCGACGGUUGUCCCGGUUUAAGCGUGUAGGCUGGUUUUCCAGGCAAAUCCGGAAAAUCAA
rnacentral:rRNA from 1 species